rnacentral:lncRNA from 1 species
GCGCCGGGUCACGGAAUCUCCUGCCCCGGGGCCGUGGAAACUGCAACUCUCGUCGGAGCAGCGCGGGCCCAGACUGGCAGCCAGAUGUGGACAGCCCGCUGCGUCCCCCACCCCGCCCAAGGCAAAGAGCUCGGCGUCCUGAGGGUCUUGUAAAAGCGGGGCAGAAAAAGCCUUUUGGGUGCCCUGAAAGUACACACGGGAUCGAACUCAGGACCUUGCACUUUUGAGGCAGGCGCCAGAACCACUGAGCUAAAUCCCCUGUCCUAACAGACUUCUUAAUUAAAUAUAAGCGUGAAUAUAUCAAGAAAAUUGCUUUCUCUUAAGUUAUUUGAAGUAAUAUCUCAAUAACUUGGUCUUUAUAAAACAUUGUAGCUUUUCACUACUAGAACUAUUAAUAGAUCUAGAACAUAACAAAUUUUACCUAAAGAUAUUUAGUGUUCUG